rnacentral:rRNA from 1 species
CAUAGCCACGGUAAUACGUAGGGUGCAAGCGUUAAUCGGAAUUACUGGGCGUAAAGCGUGCGCAGGCGGUUAUAUAAGACAGAUGUGAAAUCCCCGGGCUCAACCUGGGAACUGCAUUUGUGACUGUAUAGCUAGAGUACGGCAGAGGGGGAUGGAAUUCCGCGUGUAGCAGUGAAAUGCGUAGAUAUGCGGAGGAACACCGAUGGCGAAGGCAAUCCCCUGGGCCUGUACUGACGCUCAUGCACGAAAGCGUGGGGAGCAAACAGGAUUAGAUACCCGCGUAGUCCCUGUCUCUUAUACC